UUUCGCUGACGAGUGGCGGACGGGUGAGUAAUGUCUGGGAAACUGCCCGAUGGAGGGGGAUAACUACUGGAAACGGUAGCUAAUACCGCAUAACGUCGCAAGACCAAAGAGGGGGACCUUCGGGCCUCUUGCCAUCGGAUGUGCCCAGAUGGGAUUAGCUAGUAGGUGGGGUAACGGCUCACCUAGGCGACGAUCCCUAGCUGGUCUGAGAGGAAGGUCCCCCACAUUGGAACUGAGACACGGUCCAAACUCCUACGGGAGGCAGCAUG
rnacentral:rRNA from 1 species